rnacentral:sRNA from 1 species
GCCAGGGGCGGUGGCACGCACCUGUAAUCCCAGCAGCUCAGGAGGCUGAGACAGGAGGAUCGCGAGUUCAAAGCCAGCCUCAGCAACAGCAAGGUGCUAAGCAACUCAGUGACACCCUGUCUCUA